AAGAGGCGCACUUUACCACGGCCCUGCAAAGGGAGGACUUGCUCUUGUUGAUGUCUAUCCUGGCGCUGCAGUACAUCAAGUGGGAAGAGGACAGGUGGGGCUAGGGUCUUGAUGUUUCCACCUCCGAAGAAAGAUCUGUGUGACUGUGACUGAUGUGCCAGUGACAGAUUUUAAAGAUGGAUGCCGAACCAGAAGUCCCUUUGAAUCUUCUUCAACCACCAGAGGGCAUACAUGGUUUAGAUUUACUGUUGGGCAACCUCUAACUUCCAUUUUUCUUUGAUAAGACAUCAGUGGGAUAAAGUUAAUAUUUUUGUACAGCAUUAUUAUAAGAAACAAGAAUCAAAGGGUUAUUCAAAUUUGUUCACACCGACAAAAACACACCCACACUCAAGACACCUGUGUGGUGGUUCAUUAAAAAGAUCCUCUCUUAUUGUUCUAAUUAAACAGUAAGUUAAAUGAGAAACAUCUCUGCCCAUGUGUG